UUGGACAAUGGUGCUCCUCACAUUC
rnacentral:piRNA from 1 species